rnacentral:rRNA from 1 species
GAUGAACGCUGGCGGCGUGCCUAAUACAUGCAAGUCGAGCGAACAGACGAGGAGCUUGCUCCUCUGACGUUAGCGGCGGACGGGUGAGUAACACGUGGAUAACCUACCUAUAAGACUGGGAUAACUUCGGGAAACCGGAGCUAAUACCGGAUAAUAUAUUGAACCGCAUGGUUCAAUAGUGAAAGACGGUUUUGCUGUCACUUAUAGAUGGAUCCGCGCCGCAUUAGCUAGUUGGUAAGGUAACGGCUUACCAAGGCAACGAUGCGUAGCCGACCUGAGAGGGUGAGCGGCCACACUGGAACUGAGACACGGUCCAGACUCCUACGGGCGGCAGCAGUAGGGAAUCUUCCGCAAGGGGCGGAAGCCUGACGGAGCAACGCCGCGUGAGUGAUGAAGGUCUUCGGAUCGUAAGACUCUGUUAUUAGGGAAGAACAAAUGUGUAAGUAACUAUGCACGUCUUGACGGUACCUAAUCAGAAAGCCACGGCUAACUACGUG